UCUGACCGAGCACGCCGCGUGAGUGAAGAAGGUUUUCGGAUCGUAAAACUCUGCUUGUUAGAGAAGAACAAGGAUGAGAGUAACUGUUCAUCCCUUGACGGUAUCUAACCAGAAAGCCACGGCUAACUACGUGCCAGCAGCCGCGGUAAUACGUAGGUGGCAAGCGUUGUCCGGAUUUAUUGGGCGUAAAGCGAGCGCAGGCGGUUUCUUAAGUCUGAUGUGAAAGCCCCCGGCUCAACCGGGGAGGGUCAUUGGAAACUGGGAGACUUGAGUGCAGAAGAGGAGAGUGGAAUUCCAUGUGUAGCGGUGAAAUGCGUAGAUAUAUGGAGGAACACCAGUGGCGAAGGCGGCUCUCUGGUCUGUAACUGACGCUGAGGCUCGAAAGCGUGGGGAGCAAACAGGAUUAGAUACCCUGGUAGUCCACGCCNUAAACGAUGANUGCUAAGUGUUGGAGGGUUUCCGCCCUUCANUGCUGCAGCUAACG
rnacentral:rRNA from 1 species